rnacentral:rRNA from 1 species
GACGAACGCUGGCGGCGUGCUUAACACAUGCAAGUCGAACGGUAAGGCUCCAGCUUGCUGGGGUACACGAGUGGCGAACGGGUGAGUAACACGUGGGUGACCUGCCCUGCACUUCGGGAUAAGCCUGGGAAACUGGGUCUAAUACCGGAUAGGACCAUGGUGUGGAUACUGUGGUGGAAAGUUUUUUCGGUGUGGGAUGGGCCCGCGGCCUAUCAGCUUGUUGGUGGGGUAAUGGCCUACCAAGGCGGCGACGGGUAGCCGGCCUGAGAGGGUGGACGGCCACAUUGGGACUGAGACACGGCCCAGACUCCUACGGGAGGCAGCAGUGGGGAAUAUUGCACAAUGGGCGGAAGCCUGAUGCAGCGACGCCGCGUGGGGGAUGACGGCCUUCGGGUUGUAAACUCCUUUCACCAUCGACGGAGGGUUUCUGACGGUAGAUGGAGAAGAAGCACCGGCUAACUACGUG